ensembl:lncRNA
GCUCCGAGUUCUGGCUCAGCUCCUGGAACUAGCUGGGUGCCAGCGGCGUUCCGGAGAGUCCAGCCAGCUCCAGGCGUCUGGGCGCUUCGAGUCUUUGAUCUUCAGAACCUGGCAGCCUCUGCUGCUCCACUCUCCUCCCGGAAACCACCCAAAAGAUUAACUUCUGAAGCCCUCAGGGCAGAGGGAGGAGAAAGGGUGGGAAAAGGCGCACCGACCAGCCAUUGGGAAGGCUGCAGAGGAGGGAGGCCAGGCUCCCGAGGGCAGCGUCACGCUACGCUCCGUACUCAGCGUCCCUUGUAGGGCCUGACACCUCUAUGAACCUGGGAUCAUGAAUGAAUUCUUGACUCUUAGAGGGUAUGGAGAAGCAAGAAGGAAGGAGAUGAGAUAGGCGAGGAGGGAAGCGGGGCUAUUCUUAAGGUUAAACUGAAAGCGAGCUUUUUAUUGAAUCUAAGAAUAUCUGAGAAGAAAAACGAAAAGAAAGAAAAGAAAAGCAAGCAGACACGGAGGGACCAGAUGGAACCAACUAAGCUGGCUUCUUGCAAGACUCAGUUACCACAUGGUACAACAUCUGAGACUAACUCCACUGAUGGCUAGAUAAGCAAAAUGAGGCUGAAAAAAAUGACAGCUCACAUGGCACCUUCUGAGGACUUACACCUCUACAGCAAAUGUAAUGUUUUAUAAUAUUUCAUUUGUUCCAUGGACAGUUUAUUUUAUUAUUUUUUUGUUUAACAGGAGAUAAGAAAGUCUUUAUUGAUGAGGGAAAAAUAAGCUUUGCUGGUCAUGCGCAGGACGAGGUCAGUCGGUGAGCAUCUCCACUAGCUCAUCACUCUCCCUGUCAUUCUUCCUGUCACUCACUGGCUGAUUCUGCAGGCUCCGCCUCUUCGCUGGGCUUCCUGCCUCAUGCAGAGGGCGAUGAUAACAGCGAUCAGUAUCACAUCCAGGGCUGCUAAUGCCCCGAUGGUGCAUUUGUAUAUAUACAUGCCUUCAAGAACAUGUUCUCUGAACGUCUGAAGUGUCUGCUGUCCCUUCUGCUUGCCGUGGGCUUCUGUCCCCUCCAUGACCAUGGGGUCAGAAUACAGCUGCUGCUGCUCCCACUGGGCCUGGGACACCAUGGCCUCCUGCUGCUCAGUCAGAAGCAUCAGCAGGUGGUGAGAUUUGGAGAUGAGCUUGGCACAGGCGGGGCCCACGGGGGGCUCAGCGCAGUCCAUUUUCAAAAUGCUGAUGACCUGGGUGAUGAGCCUUCUCAGGUUGUCGUCAGGGAUGAGUGGCUGCAGCAAGUGAUUCAGCCCUGUUUCUAACCCAACCCCCAGGGACGGCAGCACUGGGGAGGUGAUGUGUGUGGGCAUCGAGGCCAAGCCCGAGGCAGAGUCUGCAGCAGACACACGAAGGUCCCCUGAUGCUGAUGGGAAGCCACCUGGAGGGGAGUCCAUGAAGCUCCUCAGUGCCUGGAACCCAGGCCUCUUUGCUGGGCUCAGGCCGCUGCGUGUAUUUCCCUUGGUGAGCUGUGCCCUCAGGUUGGCCUGGGCUGUUCCGAGGGACACAGGGAAGACAGUUCUAGCCAAGCGACAACUCUUUUGUGACUGCCAGGCAGGUGGAGUUGCCUUCAUUCUUAGCACUCUGUCCUGCCCAUGGUUUAGAAACCAUAUGCUGUGGGUGAAGUCUUUCCCUCUGCUUCUCACCACAGGCCGGGCUCUGGAGGUGGGGGACCUGCUCAGCCAGGGAGCCAGCAGGGAGGAAGGGGUGGCCGCCCUCUGUCCCUCUGUGAGGAUGGAGAAUCUGGCUGGGUUCCUGGGCCUGGGGGCCCUCAUGAUGCUGCUCCAGCUCCGUGGCACUGGGGUCCCCGAGGCUGCUUGUGCAAGGGGCCAGGUGACCUCCCUGUCCCUGACCUGCUGCUUCCUCCUGUCCUGCAGCAGCCUUUUACCUGUGCCCUUCAGGCCCCUGAGGCCCCUGUCCACUGUGCGCAGCCUUCUUCCUCUCAGGGCCUCCGCCAUGCUGUUUUCCUGUGUUGGAGCCCUUCCCAGUGUUCUAGAUAUUUGGGGCUCCAAGGUGGGACCCAAAAGGGUGGGCUGUAUACCUCUGACAGUGUCUUCUUCCUUCUUAACCUCCUCCAUUUUUUUCUGAAUUUCUACAUUUAACCAAUUUCUGAGCAAAUACAGCUCUUCCAAUUUAUUGUUGUUGGAUUCAUGGAUAAAGGAGGACUUCUUUAUAUCCUUUUUUAAAGAAUCUGUGUUAUCUCCAUGAAACACAUUUGGAAAAACCCUUGCAAUGAGUGGGAGUAGAGCUGACUGCACAGCCUCUGGGUUUCCCUCUGAGAGAUAGGGCACCAUGUAGCUGAGGGCGUCAAUCACGUCACUUUGGUCAUGAAACUUGAGCUGGUCGCUCAUGAUGCCUGACCAGGGGGCCACACUUUGCUGAGAAGACAACGUCUAAGGCUCAAUGCUCAGCUGGGUGCUGGUGCUGUUGUUCUGGGCCUGCAGGGCCUUCAUGAGCAUCCCAUCCAUGUUCCCCAUGGCUGCUGCCUCAAGGCACUGCAUGGUGUUGGACAGACAGGCGCCGUCACAGUGCAGCUAGACUAUCGGGCACACAACCUCGAUAUCACUCUUAAUUUGGCAGAGGCAGCAGGCCGUGUGGCUCGGCAAGAUCAGUUUUUGCAACUCCAGAGUCAUGGUGAGGAUGUUCUCCAGCACUGCAGGGGGCACGUGUGUUGCUCCCAAGUCUAGGUGUUUUAAUGCUGGUAAUUUACAAAAAGAUGGAUCUUCGAUAGUUGUCAGAGGGUUAUUGUUGAGGACUACUUGAUGUAAAAACUGCAUCCCGUGCCAUGCAUGAAAUGUUCCAUAGCUGAUCUGAGAAACAAAAUUGCAACAAAGAUUUAAGUACUGCAGGGAGGAG